rnacentral:rRNA from 1 species
GACGAACGCUGGCGGCGUGCUUAACACAUGCAAGUCGAACGGAAAGGCCCUGCUUUUGUGGGGUGCUCGAGUGGCGAACGGGUGAGUAACACGUGAGUAACCUGCCCUUGACUUUGGGAUAACUUCAGGAAACUGGGGCUAAUACCGGAUAGGAGCUCAUGCUGCAUGGUGGGGGUUGGAAAGUUUCGGCGGUUGGGGAUGGACUCGCGGGUUAUCAGCUUGUUGGUGGGGUAGUGGCUUACCAAGGCUUGGACGGGUAGCCGGCCUGAGAGGGUGACCGGCCACAUUGGGACGGAGAUACGGCCCAGAGUCCUACGGGAGGCAGCAGUGCGGAAUAUUGCACAAUGGGCGGAAGCCUGAUGCAGCAACGCCGCGUGCGGGAUGACGGCCUUCGGGUUGUAAACCGCUUUCGCCUGUGACGAAGCGUGAGUGACGGUAAUGGGUAAAGAAGCACCGGCUAACUACGUG